rnacentral:tmRNA from 1 species
GGGGAUGAACGGUCUCGACGGGGCAGGCUGUUCAGAGAUGGCAGGCCGUAGAGCGUCGACUACGUAAAAACAGGCGCAAACCUACAAAUGCCAAAAACACUGGCAUGGCUUUCAACUUCGGCGUUGCGGCUGCUCCGGCGGCCCUUGCUGCCUAAUUGAAGCCAACCACUGAUCCUUAACCAAGGAUCACGGCCCGCUCUGAUGGUGCAACCAGGUCAAGCGCAAGCCGUCACACACUGGUGAGCUGCAGCAGCCAAUACCGGUAAGGCUGCCUAAGGACUGACCGGCACGCCUGGCAGUGAAUCCUGUUGCACGGAGUCCGCCAGGUAAGACAAAUAGUGCGACUAAGCCUGUAGAUGUCUCUGGACGAACGUUUCGGACGCGGGUUCGACUCCCGCCAUCUCCACCA